rnacentral:rRNA from 1 species
UACAGAGGGGGCAAGCGUUGUUCGGAAUUACUGGGCGUAAAGGGCGCGUAGGCGGCCUUCUAAGUCGAACGUGAAAUCCCCGGGCUCAACCCGGGAACUGCGUCCGAUACUGGCUGGCUUGAAUCCGGGAGAGGGAUGCGGAAUUCCAGGUGUAGCGGUGAAAUGCGUAGAUAUCUGGAGGAACACCGGUGGCGAAGGCGGCAUCCUGGACCGACACUGACGCUGAGGAGCGAAAGCCAGGGGAGCAAACGGG